ACCACAACAGGUAGAGCCUGCGGUUUAAUCGGACUCAACGCCGGGAAGCUCACCGGAUAAGACAGCGGAAUGAUAGCCGGGCUGAAGACUCUGCUUGACUAGCUGAGAGGAGGUGCAUGGCCGUCGUCAGUUCGUACUGUGAAGCAUCCUGUUAAGUCAGGCAACGAGCGAGACCCACGCCAACAGUUGCCAGCAUGUCCUCCGGGAUGGUGGGGACACUGUUGGGACCGCCUCUGCUAAAGAGGAGGAAGGAAUGGGCAACGGUAGGUCAGCAUGCCCCGAAUUAUCCGGGCUACACGCGGGCUACAAUGGUCAGGACAAUGGGCAUCAACACCGAAAGGUGAAGGCAAUCUCUUAAACCUGUCCUUAGUUCGGAUUGUGGGCUGCAACUCGCCCACAUGAAGCUGGAAUCUGUAGUAAUCGCGUCUCAAAAUGGCGCGGUGAAUAUGUCCCUGCUCCUU
rnacentral:rRNA from 1 species